UUCUACAGGCUUAACACAUGCAAGUCGAGGGGCAGCAUGGUCUUAGCUUGCUAAGGCCGAUGGCGACCGGCGCACGGGUGAGUAACGCGUAUCCAACCUGCCUUACACUCUUGGACAGCCUUCUGAAAGGGAGAUUAAUACAAGAUGUUAUCAUGAGUAAGCAUUUUCGCAUGAUUAAAGGUUUACCGGUGUAAGAUGGGGAUGCGUUCCAUUAGAUAGUAGGCGGGGUAACGGCCCACCUAGUCUUCGAUGGAUAGGGGUUCUGAGAGGAAGGUCCCCCACAUUGGAACUGAGACACGGUCCAAACUCCUACGGGAGGCAGCAGUGAGGAAUAUUGGUCAAUGGACGAGAGUCUGAACCAGCCAAGUAGCGUGAAGGAUGAAGGUUCUAUGGAUUGUAAACUUCUUUUAUACGGGAAUAAACGGAUCCACGUGUGGAUUUUUGCAUGUACCGUAUGAAUAAGGAUCGGCUAACUCCGUGCCAGCAGCCGCGGUAAUACGGAGGAUCCGAGCGUUAUCCGGAUUUAUUGGGUUUAAAGGGAGCGUAGAUGGGUUGUUAAGUCAGUUGUGAAAGUUUGCGGCUCAACCGUAAAAUUGCAAUUGAUACUGGCAGUCUUGAGUACAGUUGAGGUAGGCGGAAUUCGUGGUGUAGCGGUGAAAUGCUUAGAUAUCACGAAGAACUCCGAUUGCGAAGGCAGCUUACUAACCUGUAACUGACAUUGAUGCUCGAAAGUGUGGGUAUCAAACAGGAUUAGAUACCCUGGUAGUCCACACGGUAAACGAUGAAUACUCGCUGUAGGCGAUAUACAGUCUGCGGCCAAGCGAAAGCAUUAAGUAUUCCACCUGGGGAGUACGCCGGCAACGGUGAAACUCAAAGGAAUUGACGGGGGCCCGCACAAGCGGAGGAACAUGUGGUUUAAUUCGAUGAUACGCGAGGAACCUUACCCGGGCUUAAAUUGCAACCGAAUAUGGCGGAAACGCUAUAGCUAGCAAUAGCGGUUGUGAAGGUGCUGCAUGGUUGUCGUCAGCUCGUGCCGUGAGGUGUCGGCUUAAGUGCCAUAACGAGCGCAACCCUUGCCGAUAGUUACUAACAGGUCAUGCUGAGGACUCUGUCGGGACUGCCAUCGUAAGAUGUGAGGAAGGUGGGGAUGACGUCAAAUCAGCACGGCCCUUACGUCCGGGGCUACACACGUGUUACAAUGGGGGGUACAGAGGGCUGCUACCACGCAAGUGGAUGCCAAUCCCAAAAACCUCUCUCAGUUCGGAUUGAAGUCUGCAACCCGACUUCAUGAAGCUGGAUUCGCUAGUAAUCGCGCAUCAGCCACGGCGCGGUGAAUACGUUCCCGGGCCUUGUACACACCGCCCGUCAAGCCAUGGGAGCCGGGGGUACCUGAAGUGCGUAACCGCAAGGAGCGCCCUAGGGUAAAACUGGUGACUGGGGCUA
rnacentral:rRNA from 1 species